UCUGUUAGUCCAUGCGCGCACAUGCAUCAUUACAGCACUGGGUUAAAAAAAGAUUGUUUAUUAACAUUAAGGGAAAAAUGAAACAUGAAACACAACCUCAAAAGUUACAAAUACAAUUAUGAGCACAAGGAGAAUUUUGUGUCAAAUGGUACAAUGCAACGUAACAAUUUAUUGUCCUGCGUUGUUUUCACACCGGUGUAAAAAUCAGAUCAAGAACUGGAUAACUUCUCCCGUAUAAUUGUUCAACAACCAGAGAUAUAGCUGUAGUGAUCCCAGAAGAGCCCACCUGUCAUGUGGAGAGAAAGGUCAAGCAAAUUGUCCUUGUGAGGUGAACAAGGCAGCAGAAUCCGACGAAAAUUUACUGCUUCAACAUUUUUACGGUUUGUCAUUGUUGGUUCCUUUGCUUGCACCUGAAGCCUGAGUUUCCUGCGUUUCCAACUGUUUUGCUUUCUUAGUCAAAUCAGAUGUUUCAACCUUGGCUUGCUCUUGGCCAGGUUCCUGCUUACUCUCCCAUAACUUCCCACCCUUUCCAAUUGCAAGAAUCAGCUCCAGUUGUUUUUGUUGCUGCUCCUACAAAGAAAUUGAAGUCAAAUAAACUGCAUUUUAGCUCCCCAGAGUCAAAUGCAUUCAUCUUAAAAAUGAAUCUAAGAAUAAUCCUUUGUGCAUGGCAUAUAAGAUAUCCAUUAAUAAAAAGAGAUGGCUACAUUUUUUUUUACCAAAAUUAUUCAAGCGGUGCAGGUAUGAAUACAUUGUUAAAGUCAAACGAGGCUAACAGACAGAUUUGACCAGAUCCGACUUGAACUAGAACAGAUUGAUUAGACCAGUUUGGUCUGGUUCCUGGUCAAAACUGGAUUUUUUUUUUUUUAAAUAACCACAUAAUUUGAUCAAACUGGAUGAAUUGAGCUGGAACCGGGAUUGGAACUUAGGGCACACUUUGGUCUGGUCCCGGGUCCCCAACUUUUAGGACCAGAACCACCGGUCCAGUUCAGUUCUUGCCUGGAACAGGAUCACGCCCAGGCUUAAACACAAGCCAACCUAGCAACUUUUAGACCCAUGAAUCAACACCGAUGAAAAGAUCUUAAACAUACAAUGUUUGUCCUAAAAUCCCAGAGAAAUCAAGCUAGACAUACACAAAACAACAUUAAACAGAUACAUCUAUGUGCAAUAUAUCAUCUUGAGGUUCUUGACAUCAACUUGUCUAGUAUCCCAGUAGACCAACCUUGAUACAUUUGACUACUAAAUACCAAAGUCCCUUAAGCACGUAUGGCAAGAACCCAUUGGCAUUAUGAAACUAUUCAGUUGAACAUACCUGCAUUGCCAACAAGACCUUCUGAAUUUCUCCAAGCUCCUUUUCCAGGAUAUCUUCCUGCACUGCUAGUGCUCGAGUAGCCUCAGAGUUCUUUUUUGCCAAAGCUGCAGUCUUCAGAUAGAGAUAAAGUAUGUUCAUAGAAAUUAAUAUCUUAUGAAACAAAUUAGUUAACUUACGAAAAACCAGCAGCAAAAUUUACCAAUCAGUAAUAGUUACUAACAUAACAAAUUCUCUCUUUCUCAUUAUAACCUAUUCAGACUCCAGUUAUUGCUCUACCACUUAUGUCCCUAGUUUAUCAAUUAAUCUCCGAUACUCAAGCAUUAAUGAAGCCAUGAAAUUAGGAUUCAAUACACAUUUAAACAAGACUUAAAAUGAUACUGAUCUAAGAGAUAUAGCACGUGUAUAAUCAUAGUUGCAGUUUCACAACCGGUCCAAAAUAAAUUUGGGUGUCAAUCAAAUUCUGUUGGUAGCUCGCAUUACCUUAAUUAUGAAGUAGGCAACUAUUAGACUUACAGUUAGUAAACAGAAAGAAUAAAUGGAACACACGAGGAAAAGCCAUUAUCUUGCAUUAAGAGGGUUCUCCAAACACUGGCAGAAAGUGGCAUAUGCAACAAAUAGUUUUAGGUGAUUGUGACUUUUUAUUUUUCACAUAAAGAAAACAGCCAAGAUGCUAAAAAUCAUUGGCGUGCAAGCAAAGCAUUUAGCCAUGAAAGUAUAGCACAUGAAAAUCUUAACAAGAGACAGCCAAUUGGAGACCAAUCUGUCGAUUAAUAAUUUGUCCUAAACAAAAACCCAGCUUUCUCAUAGAUAUGACAGUGCUUUGCAUGAAUAAAAUGGAUAACAGAGAGAUAGAAGGUGAACAGAAACUAAAAAUAAUAAUUAUAACAAAGCGCUUCCAGUAAGAAAUAACAAUCCUCAACCUCAAGCAAUAAGAUAUUGAGCAUCAGAUCCAACUUACAAGAUAAUUAACAAAGAUAUAAUGAGUGGUGCAGACCGCAGAGCGACUUCUUUAUGUAUAUAUAUUGCUUGCAAUCCUAAGCAUUCUUCCUUAGCCGCCUUCAUUUUUUCAAACCUUCAGCAUUUCACACAUGGGACUCUAAAACUAAUAAACCUUAAAUUUCUCUCAGUGAAACUUGUAAUUAUGCUAAUAUAUGAGAAAAAUCCUCAAGGAAUGUAACAGCACUAUGGAAUUGCGUUUUCUGAAGCUAAAUUAACUCAUCCUUACUCCCUUAAUCUUCUACUUCAACACAAUGCAAUAUCCAAAACAGCAAAAUAGUUAACAAAAACAGUCAAGAGUCAUAUAUAUAUAUAAAACAAAAAAUGAGUAUACCUCAGCAAUGGGCUCUUUCAAAGCUUUCCUUGUAAUCCGAAACCUAAUCCCUAACUUCUCAAGCUGCCUCGACAAGACCCGAAUUAUCGUGGCAGAACUCCUCAAAUCCUCCUCCAAUUUUUCAAUCCUCUCCACCAAAUUCACACUCUCUCGACCCUCCCUUACCGUUACUCUACAAAGGCGCAGCCAUUGCCGCCUCCUAAUCCACGCACCAAUCACCAUGCCACUCAUCAUCACCACCAAUCCCCAAGCAAACGCCUUGUUACUCCCUAUGACCCCCAACACCGUCUUUUUAGAGCUUAAAACCGUAGAAUUCACUGCAUAACUGAUUGUAAUAAUAGCCGACAAGACAAUACAUAAAAACUCAGCAAUUGAGAGAAAAACAUCGAGAUUGAAACCAUCGGAGACUUGUGCGCUUACUGUGUCAUCGGAUUGAUAAGCUUUGAGAGGAAAACUAUAGGAUUUUGCGGAAAAACUGAAAAGGACUUGGGGUUUGUAGGGGAAAUUUUGUAGAUGUAAGGAAUUGGAUAAGUGGCGGGAGAGGAUUGGAGGGGAGAAAUUAGGGUUUUUAAGAGAGGGUUUAAUGGGGGUAAUGAAGUAGAAAGGCAGGCGAGAAGGUGAGUUUGCGAUUGCGAAGAGGCGAUGAAAGGUGAGUGACAUUGUCGUUUUGAUUUCGUUGUGUUUUAGGGUUUUGGAUAGAGAAAAGACAUGAUCUGUGUUUCAGUUCGUCUGUGAAAGAAAGAAAGGGAGGGACCAGCUCACCUAAGCUAUGGGUAUGGCGAUGGUUACGAUGAUUGGCGCGCUUAGGGCUAUCCGCGCAUUUUAGU
rnacentral:misc_RNA from 1 species